rnacentral:rRNA from 1 species
GGGAUAACUACUGGAAACGGUAGCUAAUACCGCAUAACGUCGCAAGACCAAAGAGGCGGACCUUCGGGCCUCUUGCCAUCGGAUGUGCCCAGAUGGGAUUAGCUAGUAGGUGGGGUAACGGCUCACCUAGGCGACGAUCCCUAGCUGGUCUGAGAGGAUGACCAGCCACACUGGAACUGAGACACGGUCCAGACUCCUACGGGAGGCAGCAGUGGGGAAUAUUGCACAAUGGGCGCAAGCCUGAUGCAGCCAUGCCGCGUGUAUGAAGAAGGCCUUCGGGUUGUAAAGUACUUUCAGCGGGGAGGAAGGGAGUAAAGUUAAUACCUUUGCUCAUUGACGUUACCCGCAGAAGAAGCACCGGCUAACUCCGUCCCAGCAGCCGCGGUAAUACGGAGGGUGCAAGCGUUAAUCGGAAUUACUGGGCGUAAAGCGCACGCAGGCGGUUUGUUAAGUCAGAUGUGAAAUCCCCGGGCUCAACCUGGGAACUGCAUCUGAUACUGGCAAGCUUGAGUCUAGUAGAGGGGGGUAGAAUUCCAGGUGUAGCGGUGAAAUGCGUAGAGAUCUGGAGGAAUCCCGGUGGCGAAGGCGGCCCCCUGGACGAAGACUGACGCUCAGGUGCGAAAGCGUGGGG